UGACGAUGUCAAGUUCAAUUUGAUCUGGACGGAUCGUGUGCUGAAGCCUGAGAUUCUUCCUGACAUGCGUAUCUACCAGAAAGUCAAUCACUUCCCAAGGUCCACUGAACUGUGCGAAGAUAGUAAUCUCUUCUGGAAUAUACAGCAAAUGAGAUCAUGUAAGCCUGUUUUGCCGUAUCUUCCUUGAUGCUAAGGACAAGCAACUAUUCGACUUCAUGCCGGACUCCUAUGAUCUGCCAAGCGACCGGAUAGAGCUCAAAAAAUGCAUUGAAUUGCCUGAGAACGGGACUGCAGCGUGGAUUGUGAAGCCGCAUGCAACUGGCUCUGGAGAAACGGCUUAUGUGACAGCAACUGUAAGUGA